AUGCAGCCUUCCUUUCUCAGUCAUCUCUACUACAGUCAUGAUUAUAAUAAAGCAAACAAAUGGCAGUGGGUAUUUUGGCUACCAACAUCUGUCAUGCACUGCACACAUCUCUUUUCUGCUAUGUUUUCUUUCUUCAGCUGGAUAUGUCAGGAGAAAAACGAGAAAGAUGCCUCUUUAAUACUCUUUGUGAGGCAUAUCGCAGUACCUUGGUUUAGAAACUGUUUGACCAAUCUCAGCUGAUAGUAAAGUAAAAGGACUAGUAAAGGAGGAUAGUAAAGGAGCCAUCCCUACUAGGAGAUAGAAAAGCAGCCAUUGAAACCUCAUUCUAAGGAUUACUCCAUAAAUGACUCACUGUGUCAAUACUGGAAGUAUUAUCACUUUUCUACUUGGUAUUUACACUCUCUUUGUGAUUUACAAAUCACAUGCUAUUUUCUGAACAAAUCCCAAACCCACAGAGUUCUCCAGAUGGCCAUGUGAAUGCUUCCAGUGUCAAUGCUCAUGCAAGCAAGUGUUCACACUCUUAUUUCUGAUAUUUUACUUUACACUGAACAUUUUUCUAAACAAAAAUUUGCUUUCACAAACAUUUGGAGAAUGGAAAUGAAAGGAGUUCUGCGCACUAUGGAAGCUGAUUCAUGGUUUCUAUUCAAAUAACUAUGAGUGAAGCCUUCUGAAAUGGUUACAAUCAUCAGCAUAUUCUUCUCCUCCCUAUGACCCAGUUUAAAAGAGGAAGUAUAUAUGUAACUUUAAACAUGCAAAUAGUGUCAGUUAUGCACUGAUUUACAUAUGCAAUUAUAUUUCUUGCUGACCCAGGAGCUGGAUGAUUCUUGCUCAUGUUCACCUUUUAUCUACCUUUUCCUGAAUUUUUAUUAGAAAUCUUGAAGGAUUAUGUUAAUUCUAUGUAAAGCAGUAACUUGGCAAACAUUAAUCAGUAAUUUCAAUGACAUAGCACGAGUAGGGAGAAAGUACGAGAACAAAACAAACAGAAGAACAAGACAGCAGAUACAGAAGAAAGGCAGCCAUGGAAAAUGAGCAUAAAGCCAGAAUGGCUUCCAGUGUAAGAAUAUAAAUGCAAAGUGGAUGGCCACAGGUUUUAAAAGGCUCAUCAAUAAAGAAAUUGCUUGAAAUAAUUCCA
rnacentral:lncRNA from 1 species